UGCAAGUCGAACGGACCAUUAAUUUAUUAGUGGUUAGUGGCGAAAGGGUUAGUAACGGGUAGGUAACGUACCCCGUGCUUUGGGAUAGCGUCAGUAGCUUCGGCUACUUUCCGAAAGGGGCGGUAAUACCAAAUAAUAUCAUUUGUCGAUAGGCGAAUGAUCAAAGACUCAUCGGCGCGGGAGCGGCCUGCCUCCUAUCAGCUUGUUGGUGAGGUAACGGCUCACCAAGGCGACGACGGGUAGCGGGACUGAGAGGUUGACCCGCAACAUCGGGACUGAGACACUGCCCGGACCUCCACGGAGGGCUGCAGUAACGAAUAUUGCGCAAUGGGCGAAAGCCUGACGCAGCGACGCCGCGUGUAGGAGGAAGUCCCUCGGGAUGUAAACUACUGUCAGGGGUAAGAAAGUGCGCUUCGGCGUAUUGAUCUAACCCAGAGGAAGUCACGGCUAACUUCGUGCCAGCAGCCGCGGUAAGACGAAGGUGGCGAGCGUUGUUCGGUAUCACUGGGCUUAAAGCGUGUGUAGGCGGAAAAGUAAGCGUCUUGUGAAAGCCCCCGGCUUAACCGGGGAAUUGCGUGACGAACUGCUUUUCUUGAGGCAAGUAGGGGUGCAUGGAACUCUUGGUGGAGCGGUGGAAUGCGUAGAUAUCAAGAGGAACGCCAGUGGAGAAAUCGGUGCACUGGGCUUGUCCUGACGCUGAGACACGAAAGCGUGGGGAGCGAACGGGAUUAGAUACCCCGGUAGUCCACGCCGUAAACGAUGCCUACUAGGUUGUGGUGGUUCUGACACCAGCACAGCCGAAGCAAAAGUGUUAAGUAGGCCGCCUGGGGAGUACGGUCGCAA
rnacentral:rRNA from 1 species